AUGAUCAAAUUGCAUGCCAGAGGAUGGAAUGAGCGAAAAAAAAAAAGAAACCUGCACAAGUACUUGUCUACACGGUACUUGAAAACUAUCCAAAAGACAAAGGAAGUCAAAGAGGACAUUGAGGCUAUAAAGAAGUGCACGCAAAGGUCUGAUGAGGAACUGCAACAGUGGGUCACUGAUGUGAGACAGUGGGCAGUUGACACACCAGAUGACCUCAGAACAGAUGAUCCAGUGGCGUUGCAACAUCUGAUUGAAGGCCUAUUCUUGGGAAUCCAGCAGAAAAAGAGGGAUCUGUAUCGAGUAACCAACCGUAACAAACAGCGACACAAGAUCCAAAGACGGAUUAGAGAGGAUAAGAAAAAGCUGUUUAAUGCCAUAUCCCAAUACAAUACAAUCUUCCAAACACUACAGAAUCUGUAGAUUCAGUUGAAGACCUUCUGGCAACAGAAAGCCCUAUCUGGCCUUGGGAUUCUGAACCAGACACUUGUUAGGCAUGAAGAAGAAGUUUUUUGACAAGGUGAUGCAGCUGGAGAGACUGAUUGAGGAAGAGGCUAUAAUUUUAGAGGAAAUGAAACAACAUUGGACUCAUCUUACAAGAACCUGCAGGGCCUUGAAGGACCAGGCUAAUGUAAUAUCAGAUGACCUGGCCACACAGAGUGAGUACUAAUUUCUCAAUGCUGUUUAUUUCAUAUAUUUAUAUUUAUAUUUAUAUUUAUAUUUAUAUUUAUGCAUUUAGCAGACGCUUUUAUCCAAAGCGACUUACAGUGCAUUCAGGCUAUCAAUUUUUACCUAUCAUGUGUUCCCGGGGAAUCAAACCCCCAACUUUGCGCUUUGUAACGCAAUGCUCUACCACUUGAGCUACAGGAGCACUGCUUGCAGAUGAUAAUUCAUACAAACUGCCAGAUUGAUGUUUUGGUUAAUUGCUUUUUUAUUGUAUAUCCCAAUUUGAUUUUUAGGCUGACCUUCAGGACUGUCUGGUCAAGCUUACCAUGGCUUGCACAGUGCUGUCCUCCAAAAAUGUUAGGAGCUCAAAACAGACCUGGUAGCUGUGAAAGAAACCUACUCCCAAAUAGUGGUAAAUGGGAAUGGUGGAACUGUUGUUGAAAAAGAUAAUGAAGACCCAUAUGAGCAUGGCUCCACAGAUGCCUCUACGGAUAAUGAAUUAUAGAUUCUCUCUUCUCCACUGCACAAACUGGUCUCCUGAUUCUGAGUAGCUCAAGUUAGCUCUCCCCAUUGUAAAUAAUAAAACCUUGAACCUGAAUUUUCUAUCA
ensembl:lncRNA